rnacentral:rRNA from 1 species
AAUCUUGUGCAAUGGGCGAAAGUCUGACGCAGCGAUGCCUCGUGAAUGAUGAGGGUCUUAGGAUUGUAAAAUUCUUUCACCGGGGACGAUAAUGACGGUACACGGAGAAGAAGCCCCGGCUAACUUCGUGCCAGCAGCCGCGGUAAUACGAAGGGGGCUAGCGUUGCUCGGAAUUACUGGGCGUAAAGGGCGCGUAGGCGGCUCGUUAAGUCAGAGGUGGAAUCCCAGGGCUCAACCCUGGAACUGCCUUUGAUACUGGCGAUCUUGAGUAUGAGAGAGGUAUGUGGAACUCCGAGUGUAGAGGUGAAAUUCGUAGAUAUUCGGAAGAACACCAGUGGCGAAGGCGACAUACUGGCUCAUUACUGACGCUGAGGCGCGAAAGCGUGGGGAGCAAACA